CGGGUGCUGUUCCUCGCGUCAGACGGUAACAUUCCGGUGGCCUUAAGCAAAUCCGAGGGAGCUGGCUCUGUCGUUGCCCUGGCUUCGUUACCUGGCGCCCACCUGAAUAUCAGGUCCUCGGGAAUGCGUUUACCAGACGGUUGCUACGGGCCCGCC
rnacentral:sRNA from 1 species